AAGAAAAGAAAAGAAAAAAAAAUUUAGAAAGCCCUUCCUCUUCCCAAGUUGCCGCCCCACCUUCUCCAUGAGCCCUCCAUGGGAACUUCACCAUUAAAGCUUGCUUCAAGCUUUUAAACACCCAUUUGAUCUUACCUUACCCCAAAUUCACCCAUAAAAACUUGUUUUAGUUACUUGAAAAGGAGAUUGAUCAUCAAAGAAAGAAGAAAAGAGGAGAGAAAAUAGAGAAUUCAAAUUCAAGUGAGG
rnacentral:misc_RNA from 1 species